ACAGGAUUAGAUACCCUGGUAGUCCAUGCCGUAAACGAUGUCUACUAGCCGUUGGGGCCUUUGAGGCUUUAGUGGCGCAGCUAACGCGAUAAGUAGACCCCCUGGGGAGUACGGUCGCAAGAUUAAAACUCAAAUGAAUUGACGGGGGCCCGCCCAAGCGGUGGAGCAUGUGGUUUAAUUCGAUGCAACGCGAAGAACCUUACCUGGUCUUGACAUAGUAAGAACUUUCCAGAGAUGGAUUGGUGCCUUCGGGAACUUACAUACAGGUGCUGCAUGGCUGUCGUCAGCUCGUGUCGUGAGAUGUUGGGUUAAGUCCCGCAACGAGCGCAACCCUUUUCCUUAUUUGCCAGCACUUCGGGUGGGAACUUUAAGGAUACUGCCAGUGACAAACUGGAGGAAGGCGGGGACGACGUCAAGUCAUCAUGGCCCUUACGACCAGGGCUACACACGUGCUACAAUGGUCGGUACAAAGGGUUGCUACCUAGCGAUAGGAUGCUAAUCUCAAAAAGCCGAUCGUAGUCCGGAUUGGAGUCUGCAACUCGACUCCGUGAAGUCGGAAUCGCUAGUAAUCGCGGAUCAGAAUGCCGCGGUGAAUACGUUCCCGGGCCUUGUACACACCGCCCGUCUUGCCAUGGGAGUUUGUUGCACCAGAAGUAGG
rnacentral:rRNA from 1 species